rnacentral:rRNA from 1 species
GAUGAACGCUGGCGGCGUGCCUAAUACAUGCGAGUCGAGCGAACAGAUGAGGAGCUUGCUCCUCUGACGUUAGCGGCGGACGGGUGAGUAACACGUGGAUAACCUACCUAUAAGACUGGGAUAACUUCGGGAAACCGGAGCUAAUACCGGAUAAUAUAUUGAACCGCAUGGUUCAAUAGUGAAAGACGGUUUUGCUGUCACUUAUAGAUGGAUCCGCGCCGCAUUAGCUAGUUGGUAAGGUAACGGCUUACCAAGGCAACGAUGCGUAGCCGACCGGAGAGGGUGAUCGGCCACACUGGAACUGAGCCACGGUCCAGACUCCUACGGGAGGCAGCAGUAGGGAAUCUUCCGCAAUGGGCGAAAGCCUGACGGAGCAACGCCGCGUGAGUGAUGAAGGUCUUCGGAUCGUAAAACUCUGUUAUUAGGGAAGAACAAAUGUGUAAGUAACUAUGCACGUCUUGACGGUACCUAAUCAGAAAGCCACGGCUAACUACGUG